rnacentral:lncRNA from 1 species
UCCUAUAAGCCAUUGUCGUAUGUGUAAAAUAAUUUUAAAAUAUUUGUAUAUUUGGACAGCAUUAUACAAAACAAAACGAUCACUUUAAAGAAAAUGGAAAAAAGUUGAAACAAAUGAUCUAAUCAUAUAAGACAUCGAAAAGAGGAGACUUCCACUGAGUUUUGGUGUACAGUUAUCAUGGCACAAUAUGAAUUCAGGAACGAACCUCAAUCAUAGGUUUUCGGUGGACGUUGAUUGUAUCGGGUCUCUGUCUCAAUAACAGUUACCCAUCAACACUUUUCAUACAUUUGUGAUAAAUUUGCUGCUUUGGUGCAGUCUCAUUGACGUAAAAUGUAAGCAUCAAUCUAUCAUUGUAUUCUAAGAACUGGUUCGGUCACUACCAAUGCAUACAACGAUCAUUUAUUAGCUUCGUCCAUUUCGUUUCACAAUAAUAUAGACAGUGAUAGAAAGUACAAUUUUA